rnacentral:rRNA from 1 species
UACAGAGGUCCCGAAGCCAGUUGUUUCGGUGAUUCAUUGGGCGUAAAGGGUGCGUAGGCGGCGCGGUAAGUCGGGUGUGAAAUCUCGGAGCUUAACUCCGAAACUGCAUUCGAUACUGCCGUGCUUGAGGACUGGAGAGGAGACUGGAAUUUACGGUGUAGCGGUGAAAUGCGUAGAUAUCGUAAGGAAGACCAGUGGCGAAGGCAGCUCGCUGGGACGUGACUGACGCUGAGACGCGAAAGCGUGGGAGCAAACAGG